ACAGGUCACGCUUGACUGAAUCCGUGCUCGGGCAAAUAUCUGUAGUAUUAACGCUGAUGAUCGUAUGUGCCAAUACGAGACACUAGAAUACAUUGAGGAAUCAAUAAAGCCAUCCAGCGGUACAGCUUGCACCAGCAAGAAUUACUCAUCACACAGUAAUUUUAUUGGAUCAAUGGAAUUUAAACCCAGUGCUUUAUAUCAUCCAAAUUUAAUUUCGAACUAUUCACUUACAAAUUGUAUUCACUUUAUAAAAUAGAAACCAAAUUGUAUUCACUUUAUAAAAUAGAAACCACUAAUAAGUACCAGAUCAAGUGACCUGGGUUUAUAUUUUUACAUUUUUUAUGACCAGGUCCAGGAAUAUAAUAAUAAUGGAAGUAAAAGUAUGGUCACAAUUUUGCAAAAUCUUUGUUUCAAAGUAGUUGUUCACAGAUGUCCAAGCUUUUUCCGUGCCGUAAGAAGUGUUAUCACCUUAAUUUGUUUUAUCGCUUUUCAUUGCCAUAUCACAUUCA